rnacentral:siRNA from 1 species
UGCCUCUGAUGUUCGCCAUUCACU